CUACGGGGUGCAGCAGUGGGGAAUAUUGCACAAUGGAGGAAACUCUGAUGCAGCAACGCCGCGUGGAGGAUGACACUUUUCGGAGCGUAAACUCCUUUUAUAUAGGAAGAAGAUGACGGUACUAUAUGAAUAAGCGCCGGCUAACUCCGUGCCAGCAGCCGCGGUAAUACGGAGGGCGCAAGCGUUACUCGGAAUCACUGGGCGUAAAGAGCGUGUAGGCGGAUUAAAAAGUCAGAAGUGAAAUCCCAUAGCUUAACUAUAGAACUGCUUCUGAAACUCUUAAUCUAGAAUAUGGGAGAGGUAGAUGGAAUUUCUGGUGUAGGGGUAAAAUCCGUAGAGAUCAGAAGGAAUACCGAUUGCGGAGGCGAUCUACUAGAACAUUAUUGACGCUGAGACGCGAAAGCGUGGGGAGCAAACAGGAUUAGAUACCCCGGUAGUC
rnacentral:rRNA from 1 species